AGUUUGUCUCUCUCUUACUCUCUCUCACACACACACGCACACACACACACACACUCACUCACUUUCUGUCCACGCUCAUUUGUUGUUUCACUCUCCAGACGAAGCAGGAAGUUGGAGGAGAAAAAAAGAGAAAGCGACGCACAGGCGCACACACGCAGCGCGUACACAGAGGGGAGAGCUGAACCAGGAAGUGAGCGAGCGCUCGGCUGGUCUGCAGUGAAAGCUCACAGCGUCAGGCGCAGUUUCGGAGUGUUCUCAGCGUCUGAGUCUGCCAAACGGACCGUAGUCCACCUCCCCCCCGCCGCCGUCCCACCGGGCCCGUCGCCACGGAGACACGCAGCCGCGCACUGCCGCCUGUGCAGACAGACAGAACGACCAGCGGCCUGCGCAAGUCUGCACACAGGACAGCUACUUGGCAGUGCCCCCCCUUGCAGUUGUGGGAUGAACGGAACAGACGGAGGGGCCAUGGAGUUUGGACAGGAAGGGGAGGAGCUACCGCUGAGUGACGGGACGUGUGACGCCUGCGAGCCGGACGAGGCGGAGCCGGCCUCCCAGAUGUGCCACGCCUGCGGCUUCGCUUUCUGCGCCGUGCACGCCGAGAAGCAUCAGCGCAGCACCCGGCAUGCGCUGGCGCCGUACAGACCAGAGGAGGAGCCUGCAGCCGAACGCCACGGCGACGGGGCGCAGGGGGCGCAGGGGGGCGGGAUGGAGGAGGGCGUGGCGGGAGGGGGUGCGGAAGAAGAGGAGGAGAGGCCAGCCCCCCAGGAGGGAGGGAAGAGCAGGGACACUGUGACGGUGGAGCGGCUGCGCUGUACGGAACAUGGCCAGGAGGGGUCGCUGUACUGCAAAAACGACGAGAAGAUCGUGUGCGUGGUGUGUGCCGUGCAAGGGGAGCACAACACCCACGAGAUCAUCACCCUACGGGAGGCCUACCUGUGGCAGAAGAGUAAAGGGGGAGUGGACCUGCUGGGCUCCACACAGGAAAUGGCGGAGAGGAUCAAGUCGAAGUGGACCAGCCCAGACAUGAGCACGGAGCAGCUGGAGUGCUAUGUGAACCAGCAGUUUGACGCGCUGCACAGGCUGGUGCGGCUGGAGGAGCGGCGCACGCUGCACCUGGUGGACCUGAAGGAGGCCUUCCUCACCGCACAGGCCGCAGAGAAGAUGGCCGAGAUCAGCGUCCACACCGAGCGGCUGCAGGCCGAGAUGGACUCCAUUACCCAGCAGCUCGGGGCCCUGGACCAGGGGGAGGAGCCUGCCGCCAACCCCGUCCCCAUGGCAGUGGAAGCCCGGCCGAGGUAAGAGGAGGAGGCGGAGCCGUCCCAGAAGCCUUUAGGGCCGCGUUUCGCUCAGCCUGUCGGGCCCGAGCCUGAGCCCAGACAGGACCCACCGGGGGACUACAGGGACGGUGGUCCGGGCUCAUUCAUGGGACACGCCCCCUGACGACAAGCCACACCCCCUUGACGACCAGCUGCCUCCUCCCCUGCACCUGUGAGGCCUACUGUGACUCCUGUGACAUCAGAGCAACUGACCAGGAACUGGUGAUUUUAAAAGAGACGUCUUUUCCACUCUUCAUCCUAUUUUUAUUUAAAUCUAAAAUCUUUUUAAAAUCUUGAUUUUGUGUUUUCCGGGCUUGAAAAUUAUGGUUGUGUUUCAUGUAAUCACACUUUGGGCUUACAGUGUAAAUCUCACAUUUUCCCUCAGUCUAGUCAGGCUGUUAAUCUGGCUGAGUUACUGUAUAAUUGGGUCCACAUGUUGUACUGAUCAGUACUGUGACAGAUGCUUAUAAAUCCAGUGGGUGUAAAAAGUCAAAGUGGAAUUUAGGAAGGAAUAAAAAAUUUGCGCUUUCCAGCACAGAAAAUGUUUAAUGAUUUGAGGGACCUCAAUUAAGACAAAAACUUAAUUGGGAAAGAAAAACUUCUGAGAAUUUGUUGUAAAUACUUGUUAAUUACACAUAGAAAUGUGAUUUUAUUUUGUGUGUUUGAAGUUCACAAAAUGCUUGUCAUGUUUGCAGUUAAGAACUUCACCAGACUGUCAUGCUUUAUUUUUUGCUUGGUGUUCCCCUAUGAAUAGGUGUAUGCAUCCCUGAAAUUGAUUUUGGAUAACAGGUUUGACCAAGAUUCAGGCUGUAAAAUAAAACAUUGAUGUGCAAAAAAAGACAUUUAAAUGCUGCAUCUUUAAUGGGAAGCCGGAAGCUUUGGAGAUAAAUCCCAAAUUAUGAAAAGUGAAAAGGCCGUUCUGGUUAUUUUCCGUCCUGCUGAUAGAUACAAGGCCUGUCCCAGACGGGCCUCGGGGUACUGGGUUUUGGUGCCGUCCCACCAUAUGAUUGGUGAAUCAACUCAAAUCAUCAGAUACUACAGGACUUCAGCUUCAGCAUUCAGCUCAGAGUCGCAGAAAGCCUCGCUUCUUUGGAGAUUCACAGUCAGCAGAUGGUGCUUCCCUUUUAGCUGAGAUGACAUGCGAGGGAAGCUGAAUGCUUUUAAUGGAAAUUAUGCUAAUAACAGGAAUAUGUGACUGCUCCCACCUGAUAUGCUGGCAUUAUCUUUACUGGCUCAGACCUGGCUCCUGCAUAUGCCAGCAAACAGCCUUCAUCUGGCUGAGAAAGCAGGCUGUUUAUCACAGCCAGACACAAAUCAGUCUUUACUGAAACCUCGCCCUUUUCUAACAUCAAAUAUUUUAUUUUUAACAUCAAAUAUUUAACAUCUGUUCUGGCUGUGUGGCAGUUCUAUUUCAAAGAUACGUCAGCUAUGUGCCUGGAUGAAAUGUCGGGGUUGUGCUAUUUUCUUUCACUGUUUUUGUCACGUUUUCAAAGCUGAAUCAGAACUGGAAAGUGCAUGCUGGGAUGGUUUUUCUGUCUCCGCUCUGGCAGCGCUCUGGGGGAGUUGAUUGUGUGAUUGUGGAGUGAUUUUAAAAACCCUGCCUGAGUUGGAGGACAGCUGCUGAACGGUGUCACAUGGUCGAGGCCACACAAAUCUGUGGCUCUAUAUGUGGAAGAGGAAAUGACAGGUCUGUUUCUGAAGUGAAGAAAAAAGACUUCAGAACAUCGAGUCAAACAUUAUUUUCUUUUCUUUUCUGCUGUUUUUUUUGUUUUAUUUUUGAAAAUAAAGUUAAAAUAAUGUAGCAUUACAAGA